UACGUAGGGUGCGAGCGUUAAUCGGAAUUACUGGGCGUAAAGUGUGCGCAGGCGGCCGAGCAAGUCGAGUGUGAAAGCCCCGAGCUUAACUUGGGAACUGCGCUCGAAACUACUUGGCUAGAGUGUGGCAGAGGGAGGUGGAAUUCCACGUGUAGCGGUGAAAUGCGUAGAGAUGUGGAGGAACACCGAUGGCGAAGGCAGCCUCCUGGGCCAACACCGACGCUCAUGCACGAAAGCGUGAGGAGCAAACAGG
rnacentral:rRNA from 1 species